rnacentral:rRNA from 1 species
AUUGAACGCUGGCGGCAGGCCUAACACAUGCAAGUCGAGCGAGCGGCGGACGGGUGAGUCAUGUAUGGGGACUGCCCGAUAGAGGGGGGUAACUACUGGCAACGGUAGCUAAUACCGCAUACUAUCGUAGGACCCCUAUGGGAUUAGCUAGUAGGGGGGGUAAUGGCUCACCUAGGCGACGAUCCCUAGCUGGUCUGAGAGGAUGAUCAGCCACACUGGGACUGAGACACGGCCCAGACUCCUACGGAGGCAGCAGUGGGGAAUAUUGGACAAUGGGCGCAAGCCUGAUGCAGCCAUGCCGCGUGUAUGAAGAAGGCCCUAGGGUUGUAAAGUACUUUCAGUCGGGAGGCGUUACCGACAGAAGAAGCACCGGCUAACUCCGUGCCAGCAGCCGCGGUAAUUC